rnacentral:rRNA from 1 species
UACGGAGGGAGCUAGCGUUGUUCGGAUAUACUGGGCGUAAAGCGCACGUAGCGGCGCCGUAAGUCAGGGGUGAAAUCCUGGAGCUCAACUCCAGAACUGCCUUUGAUACUGGGAGUCUUGAGUUCGGGAGAGGUGAGUGGAACUGCGAGUGUAGAGGUGAAAUUCGUAGAUAUUCGCAAGAACACCAGUGGCGAAGGCGGCUCACUGCCCCGAUACUGACGCUGACGGUGCGAAAGCGUGGGGAGCAAACAGG